UUAAUUUGAUUUUCAUUUAGGGAACUAGUUACUUUAAGGUAGUGUUUUAUUUUUUACAUUUUUCCCUAGUUAAGUUUUUCCUUGUUUUGCUUUGAAAAAGCCAAAAAACACACGUGUGACGUACGCGUAGAUAAGUAUCAAAAAUUAAUUUAGAAUUAUCGUGUAUUAAACAAAUCAUAUAACAAGAAGUUUCUGUCCAUGGUGACUUAAACUAUUAGAUUUUCAUAUACUACUAGGAUUUAAACUGUUAGAAUUAUUCGAAGGUGAUAUCAGAUGAUUCCAGGAGGCUUCCUUAAGAUAAGAUAACUACUAGCUAUACUAGUAAUUAAGUUAUUAUUAUAGUGACUAUUAUUUAUUUGUUAACAAAAUGAAUAUUAUUAUUUUACUAUAAUGUUUUUGUUUUCGAAGAGAAAAGAACCUAUUUAAUGUGGAUUGUGUGACAGUUAAUUAUUAAUUUAUUAAUUACGAAAAAUAAAAAUGGUCAACCUGCAUUUACUUACUAGUUUUUGUACUGGUGUAAAUGAAAAAGAUCUCUCCUUGUGUAUUUUACUUUUCACUUCUAGGGGCUUGGCAUUUGGAAGUAAAGAAUGAUCGUGGGUCCAAAACAAGAUUCAAAAAUUUCGACAAAAAAAAAAAAUUCAAAUUUAAACAAUUGAUAAACUAAUAAAAGUGGAAAGAAAUGAGAGGGAAAAGAUAUAAAAGGAAAGUGUAAUAGUAGCCAGAUUUGGAGAGAUGGCAUCUCUUCCACGGAAGUGUCUCUGAAAGCUACGUCACUCCAUUUUCUACAAUUUUCUCAAUAGUUUGAAAAUCUCUUAUAUAUUAAAAGAGAAGCAUUAGCUUUAAUGCAUUCACACUAACCACUUGGCGUUUUCACAUUAAUUUAAAAAAAUUUACCUUGCUUUAAUAGAACUUUUCAAAAUUUUGUUUCCUUUUUCGCUUACACACUAAAACAAACGAAACGUAAAACUACUCAUGGAGAGGUUUUUGUCUACGUUAAAAAUAUGUUGGAAGACGUUCAUUAAUACCUCUUCCGUAGGCUUUAUAAUCUUUAGGUUGAGUGUAUUCAAGCAAGACUUCUAUAGGAACGUCUCCGAAUCAGAAUAGUUAAGUGUUGCGAGCUCCAACUGCAUCCCUAUCUUCCUUUCCUGUUCAUAUUGGUUAAACCAGUAUGAUUCUCCAUGGCCGUGAGAUUGAAUAUUGUUUUCGCUUCAGGUUUGAUUCUCGCAGCAUCAAAUGGGGUUGUGUGUUUACAGUGUGGGAAUACUGGAAAUAUUUGUUUGCAGAGGUUAAGAGAUAUUUAAUUCAGUUAAUUAAACAAAAUAACACCAAUAAAAUCAUCGUAUUGAGCAUAAAGUUAAAUUAUUUCAGUUAUAAAAUUAUAACUCGGUUGUCAAAAGAAGACUAAGUCGAACUAACCUUUUUUAUUAUUAAACCAAGUUUGACCGUUUUACAAUUUUAUAGGUUAAGGUUUCAUCAGCCUCUUAUAUUAAACUCUUCUUGGCUACUGUAGUUUAAUUAGCCUAACUACUCUAGGUUUCACAUGUUUUUUUUCAACUUCAUUAACAUUUUACUAUCAUCAUCAGUGCAUGCAUGGAGUUUUAGUAAAAUCUCUUAUGUUAUAAAUUCGUCAAGUUAUUACCCACAUCAAACCUGUGAAUGUUUGUUUGCAUUGACAUUUACAUUUUUAUUUCCAUGUUAUAGUAUUCUAAGUUUCUAACAUGGAAAUGUCGCAGAAGUAUCUAUUAAGAGGUCAAAUAUGCAAAAUUUAACAUAACUAAAAGCUCAUAUAUCAGCUGCUAUUUAAGAAAAUAUAUCCAACUAAAGCUAUAUUUAAUUUGUUUUAUCUGCUUAUAUGUACGGAUAUAGUGUUGCUUCCUCCAUAAGUUAUUGGUAAUAAGAUUUUCUUAUCAGCGGUAAGAGCUUCUCUGCUCUAAUCUUCUCAAGGAUGGUUAUAAAAAGAAGAAAAAAAAACUCUGUAUUUAAACAAAUUUGAAUUCGUAUCAGCAGUGUAAUAAUUUGAUGUCCACAUUAAACAUGCAUAAUAUCUUCUUAUCUUAUAAAUAAUGAAAGUAAUAAUCUCAUCCUGCCCAAGGGGCAGGUUAUCACCUAGUAAAUAAUUUAAAAUAUAUACUAAAUGAGUCUCUCGAACGGCCUGAGUGUUUUCUUUUUCUUUUGACAAAACAGCCAGAAUUUUUUCUUUUCUUCUGGUUUUGAUUAAUAAAACUUGUAGAACAUACAAAAAUUGAGAUUCUAAAACCCACGGCAGGGAGACAUAAGCCAAACAACAGAUGACUUAAUCCCAAACAACGGGUGAUACUUGAAAAACUACAACAAUCACUAGAAGACUCACUCAGGUAACCAAACCUAAAAAAAUCCUUGACAAGGGAUAACAAUAUUACUUUAUCUACUCUUUAAACAGACGGAACUCUUGACAAGAGAGGAAGCGAUGUAGUGGCAAUAACAACGAAACAAAUCUCAACUUACCUGAACCUCUAAUUCACGGUACCAAGCCAGAACCGAUAAGAAUAACAUCAGAAACAAACCAGAGAAGAACAACAACUGGGACCAAGCUUCCUCCUCAAACGAACCUUCAUCGAAAAGCCUAAGACCCUCAACCUCAUUAUAAUGUUUCAACGAACCGAAUCCACCGAAGAACAUGAGAGCAAAAAACACACCGUAAAAUACAUUUAUUCAAAGGCCGUAAGAAUGACUCUUUCCUAGAACGGGACAAGCAAUCUGAAACUUCUCAGAAAUGUUAAGCAUGUUAUAUAUGCUCACUACACACCACCACGCCACCAUCCCACACCGCUUACACCGAUGUUAUAACAACGAUCAAAUAAGACAGACACUAAAAUCCAAACAACGACGUCUCAGAUUUAGCUUUUCUGAAGCCAUAAACACACCUGAUCCGAGUAGAGAUUUCAAAACAUGAAUUGAAUUGAUAUAUUUGGUCAGCAAACAACAAGAACUUAACAGAAUCUAUAAAAAAAAAAUACAGAGAAAAAGACGGCUGGAGGUGAACUGCUCUGUACGUCUACCGUAUAUGGCGUCUUCUUCAUCAUAAUCAAGUAGAUAUGUUAGCUCUGGUCGGAGAUCUCACCGGGAAACCUCUUCCACCACAGCCAAACAACCACCCAGAAGAAAUCUCAAUCGAA